rnacentral:lncRNA from 1 species
CUCUGGGUCACCAUGAACAAGCUCAACUGCUCUGAGACCAUCAGGCAAUGAGAAAGCCCAAGUCACCGGGAAAGGGAUGCAUAGGCACUCCCAUUGACAGUACCAGCUGAGGCCAGCCUUCAAGUCAUUCCAGGCUCUGUGCCAGAUAUAAUGUAAGCAUCUCAAGGGCAGGAGCCUUGUGUGGUCCAUGCUGCAUCUCAAGUACCCAGGACAAUGCCUGGAACAUAGGAGGGCCUCUGAAGAUGUAUGUUGGGUGUUGCUGAUGGUGGCAUCCUAGAGUAGAGAAAAGGACUGAAGAGUGGAAAAAAAUCCCAAGCCAUAGAUGGCAGCACACCACUACCUACGAUCAGAUAAACAGGCUAAGUUUGCAAGUCAGAGCUGUUGGUUAGGAGGGAGCAGCUAAUGAGUAAUCAGUCCAAGCUGAAUGGCAAAUUAAUGUCUUCAUUAAAUGAACUAACUGGCUUCCUUUAUAAACAAGGUCAGAGUAUUUAUAACCCAGUGCAUUUCAUGAAGCAAAAUCCGUUUACAUUGAUGUAACUUCACUAUGGAACCCAUGAUUUAUCUGCUUGAAGAAUAGGCAAAAUCUCACUUGGAAACCAUCUUUAGUAAGGACUGGUACCAUUCUGAUGUAAUCAUUAAUAAAA